UACGGGGGGGGCAAGCGUUGUUCGGAAUUACUGGGCGUAAAGGGCUCGUAGGUGGUCAACUAAGUCGGACGUGAAAUCCCUCGGCUUAACCGGGGAACUGCGUCCGAUACUGGCAGGCUUGAAUUCGGGAGAGGGAUGCGGAAUUCCAGGUGUAGCGGUGAAAUGCGUAGAUAUCUGGAGGAACACCGGUGGCGAAGGCGGCAUCCUGGACCGAGAUUGACGCUGAGGCGCGAAAGCCAGGGGAGCAAACGGG
rnacentral:rRNA from 1 species